UUUCUUAUUCCUUUUCCUUCCUUCCCUCUCUCUUUCUUCUUUUUUGUGCUGGCAGCACCCCAGAUUUGACCAAAAUUCUUUGCUCCCACUUUUCUCUCGACCUCAGCACUAUCUCUAAAGCCGAUCCUCUCUUUUUUUUUUGUAUUAUUUUGUAUGUAUUUUUUAUUGUUGUGGAUCAUGGUUCCAACUGCUAGAGAUUUAGAAUUUUUCUUGGUUUUUUUAGUUUCUUUUGUUGUGUUGUUUUUUUUGAUUGAUUUUCCUGGCUUUCCAAAAUCCCCCCUCACCCUCAGAUUUUUCAAGGUUCUUAUAGAACCCAGUUGUCCAAAUCUUUGGACAAUCAUGAGCUUGGCAGCACUAAUUCCAGAUGGGUAACCUUCAAGUAAAAGAAAUCCACCGAAAAUGAUCUCAAAUCCCAGCUACCAGAAAAGCAUUUAAUGCUCUAUAUAUUGUUGAUAAUGGAGGCCAAGUGUGCCUCCAUCCCUUCUGUUUUUUCUUCUUUUUAUUUUUAUUAUUUUUUUGUGUGCUUUUUGGUUCAAUUUAUUUAUUUAAUUUUAUUUAUUAAGUGGGUGUCUACACCUACAAGGCUGUCCUCGGAGGAAUUCACCAGCGAUAUUGGAUAGCGAGGAACGAGGUGAAGAUACAACAAGUUUUAGAGACGUUCAAGGGAUGAUAGUUUCAGCAAAAUGGAAACGCGACAAAGAUUACCCUCAUCUUGAUCACGUGCAAUGUUUUAUUUGAUCAAGACUAUAGACGAGCAAUGAUUGCGUGGUUGUUGUUGUUGGUCGAGAACAUCGACCAAUGGAAUGCAUUCCCAUGGAGCACCUAUGUAUGGAGUUUGACCAUGGAUUACUUGUUGAGGGGCUUUAAACCUCAAAUGGUGGGAGCAUAAGAAAAGAAAUGUUACCACCUAUAUGGAUUUGUAUGGGCAUUUCAGGCUACUCCUGAUAUCCGAAGCUAGUUUGGUAGGUAGUGCCAAUCUGGACAGGUUUGUCUAAGAAUGUUGAAAUGGCAUUGUGAUGAGAUGCCCAUAUGCUUCCACAUCAAUAUUACAGGUUUGGAGAGAGAAGGCAGAUUGCGCGUAAUUGGAACCUUAAAGCCAAUUGUGGAAGAGAUUUUGGUUGCAUAUUGGGUCGACAUUGAUGUCAAUACCUCUGAGGGGCAG